UGGGCUUGACAUCUACGAGAAACCCCGGUGAAAGCCGGGGCCCUCUUCGGAGUUCGUAGACAGGUGCUGCAUGGCUGUCGUCAGCUCGUGUCGUGAGAUGUUGGGUUAAGUCCCGCAACGAGCGCAACCCUUAUCUGCUGUUGCUAACGGGUAAAGCCGAGGACUCUGCAGAGACUGCCGGUGACAAACCGGAGGAAGGUGGGGAUGACGUAGCACGCAAUAACA
rnacentral:misc_RNA from 1 species